AUUGAACGCUGGCGGCAGGCCUAACACAUGCAAGUCGAACGGUAACAGGAAGAAGCUUGCUUCUUUGCUGACAAGUGGCGGACGGUUGAGUAAUGUCUGGGCAACUGCCUGAUGGAGGGGGAUAACUACUGGAAACGGUAGCUAAUACCGCAUAACGUCGCAAGACCAGAGAGGGGGACCUUCGGGCCUCUUGCCAGCGGAUGUGCCCAGAUGGGAUUAGCUAGUAGGUGGGGUAACGGCUCACCUAGGCGACGAUCCCUAGCUGGUCUGAGAGGAUGACCAGCCACACUGGAACUGAGACACGGUCCAGACUCCUACGGGAGGCAGCAGUGGGGAAUAUUGGACAAUGGGCGCAAGCCUGAUGCAGCCAUGCCGCGUGUAUGAAGAAGGCCUUCGGGUUGUAAAGUACUUUCAUCGGGGAGGAAGGGAGUAAAGCUAAUACCGAUGCUCAUUGACGUUACCCGAAGAAGAAGCACCGGCUAACUCCGUG
rnacentral:rRNA from 1 species